GUUUAAGGCAGACAGGGUCUCUGUUAUCGAGAGAAUAUAUCUCGGUGUCUGAUGUCAGGAUUCAGAAGGGAAAUGACGACGUUGGAAGCCGGUGCGAUGGAUAAUGUACAGUCUCAGAUUUUGGUUGAGAAUCAUGUCAAAGUGAACACACCCUGUGCAGUAUAAUCAAAAUUCUCUCUUGGCAGAUCAUUCAUUCUGAUCAUAUUCAGAGAACACAGAACCAGUAUCCUAUAUUCCAGUGAAUCUACGAAGUCUCUCAUGGGCGCAAAAGCAGAAGGAGAUCCAUCAGCACAGAGACAAAAGCCCCCGCUGGCUGGAACUUGACAACACACCAAGGCAUUUACAGAACUGCUUGGUGUCUCCUCCUCGAUCCAGCCUCUCACAAGGCAUACACCGUAUAGGAGAGGCUCCUGUGCCUCAGGUGAGGUUUCUGAAGAGCCUACU